rnacentral:rRNA from 1 species
AGCGAACGCUGGCGGCAGGCCUAACACAUGCAAGUCGAACGAAGUCUUCGGACUUAGUGGCGGACGGGUGAGUAACGCGCGGAAACGUACCUUUUGGUUCGGAACAACUCAGGGAAACUUGAGCUAAUACCGGAUGAGCCCUUAGGGGGAAAGAUUUAUCGCCGAAAGAGCGGCCCGCGUUAGAUUAGCUAGUUGGUGAGGUAAAGGCUCACCAAGGCUACGAUCUAUAGCUGGUCUGAGAGGAUGAUCAGCCACACUGGGACUGAGACACGGCCCAGACUCCUACGGGAGGCAGCAGUGGGGAAUCUUGCGCAAUGGGCGAAAGCCUGACGCAGCCAUGCCGCGUGAAUGAUGAAGGUCUUAGGAUUGUAAAAUUCUUUUACCAGGGACGAUAAUGACGGUACCUGGAGAAAAAGCCCCGGCUAACUUCGUGCCAGCCGCCGCAGUAAUAC